rnacentral:rRNA from 1 species
UGGGGAAUUUUGGACAAUGGGGGAAACCCUGAUCCAGCCAUCCCGCGUGUGCGAUGAAGGCCUUCGGGUUGUAAAGCACUUUUGGCAGGAAAGAAACGUCGCGGGUUAAUACCCCGCGAAACUGACGGUACCUGCAGAAUAAGCACCGGCUAACUACGUGCCAGCAGCCGCGGUAAUACGUAGGGUGCAAGCGUUAAUCGGAAUUACUGGGCGUAAAGCGUGCGCAGGCGGUUCGGAAAGAAAGAUGUGAAAUCCCAGAGCUUAACUUCGGAACUGCAUUUUUAACUACCGGGCUAGAGUGUGUCAGAGGGAGGUGGAAUUCCGCGUGUAGCAGUGAAAUGCGUAGAUAUGCGGAGGAACACCGAUGGCGAAGGCAGCCUCCUGGGAUAACACUGACGCUCAUGCACGAAAGCGUGGGGAGCAAACAGGAUUAGAUACCCUGGUAGUCCACGCCCUAAACGAUGUCAACUAGCUGUUGGGGCCUUCGGGCCUUGGUAGCGCAGCUAACGCGUGAAGUUGACCGCUUGGGGAGUACGGUC